UACCAUAGACGCAGCUCUGAUUUCUGGUGUU
rnacentral:piRNA from 1 species